rnacentral:rRNA from 1 species
AACGAACGCUGGCGGCAUGCCUAACACAUGCAAGUCGAACGAGACCUCCGGGUCUAGUGGCGCACGGGUGCGUACCGCGUGGGAACCUGCCCUUAGGUUCGGAAUAACUCCCCGAAAGGGGUGUUAAUACCGGAUAAUGUCUUCGGACCAAAGAUUUAUCGCCUUUGGAUGGGCCCGCGUUGGAUUAGCUAGUUGGUAGGGUAAAAGCCUACCAAGGCGACGAUCCAUAGCUGGUCGGGGAGGAUGACCAGCCACACUGGGACUGAGACACGGCCCAGACUCCUACGGAAGGGAGCAGUGGGGAAUAUUGGACAAUGGGCGAAAGCCUGAUCCAGCAGUGCCGCGUGAGUGAUGAAGGGCUUAGGGUUGUAAAGCUCUUUUACCCGGGAUGAUAAUGACAGUACCGGGAGAAUAAGCUCCGGCUAACUCCGUG